rnacentral:rRNA from 1 species
ACGGGGUGCAGCAGGCGCGAAAACUUUACAAUGCGGGAAACCGCGAUAAGGGGAUACCGAGUGCCAGCAUAUUAUGUUGGCUGUCCACAUGUGUAAACGGCAUGUGUUAGCAAGGGCCGGGCAAGACCGGUGCCAGCCGCCGCGGUAACACCGGCGGCCCGAGUGGUAAUCAUUUUUAUUGGGUCUAAAGGGUCCGUAGCCGGUUUGAUCAGUUCUUCGGGAAAUCUGACAGCUCAACUGUUAGGCUUCCGGGGAAUACUGUCAGACUUGGGACCGGGAGAGGUAAGAGGUACUACAGGGGUAGGAGUGAAAUCUUGUAAUCCCUGUGGGACCACCAGUGGCGAAGGCGUCUUACCAGAACGGGUCCGACGGUGAGGGACGAAAGCUGGGGGCACGAACCGGAUUAGAUACCCGGGUAGUCCCAGCCGUAAACGAUGUUCGCUAGGUGUCAGGAACGGUGCGACCGUUUCUGGUGCCGUAGGGAAGCCGUGAAGCGAGCC